UGAAUUUCCAUACAGAUGAUAACUGUAGCAAGAAAUGGCACCUUUGCCAAUUAUAAUGUAAUAGGCAAAAUAGCAUUACAAAUAACAUCAUCAAAUUCAUCUCAAAUAAACCCUACCCUUAAUAGAAAUUAGUAAUUCACCUAAAGCAGAAAAAUCUAAGACCCCUUUAAAAUAUCAAGUGAUCCAAUCAUUCGUGAUCAGAAAUAACAAAGACUAGUUAACUCAACUUCAAGAAGCCCAAAUGCAGCAACAGUAACUAGAAUAUCCUUACAUCAUAAAUAAAUUAGAAACAAAAGUUCAAACAAAAUCAUUUGAUACUAAAAUGUCAUUUUACUGAGUUCCAUCGAGUUCCAUCAGGAACAAUCAUCGCUUUCAAUUUUUCUUUUUUCUUUUUUCAUUUUACCUUCGGUCCCAAGUGAUAAUUCAACGGUCACAAACUAUUUAUUUCUUCCUCUGCUUUCCUUUUUCCACUUUUUCUCAACAACCCAGUAGAAAAUAAGACCAAAAAAGGGGCGAAAAUUAACUAAAAUAAGAGGUGUAUAAUGAAACCUCAAUUGCACUAGAAUUAUCAGCCGCAAUAUCAGGCCAGAGCUUUGCA
rnacentral:misc_RNA from 1 species